UACGUAGGGGGCAAGCGUUGUCCGGAAUUAUUGGGCGUAAAGAGCGCGUAGGCGGUCCGGUAAGUCGGCUGUGAAAGUCAAGGGCUCAACCCUUGAAAGCCGGCCGAUACUGUCGGACUAGAGUCCGGAAGAGGCGAGUGGAAUUCCCGGUGUAGCGGUGAAAUGCGCAGAUAUCAGGAGGAACACCGGUGGCGAAGGCGGGUCUCUGGGCCGUAACUGACACUCAGGGACGAAAGCUAGGGGAGCGAAUGGG
rnacentral:rRNA from 1 species